rnacentral:rRNA from 1 species
GAUGAACGCUGGCGGCGUGCUUAACACAUGCAAGUCGAACGGAAAGGCCCAAGCUUGCUUGGGUACUCGAGUGGCGAACGGGUGAGUAACACGUGGGUGAUCUGCCCUGCACUUCGGGAUAAGCCUGGGAAACUGGGUCUAAUACCGGAUAGGACCACAUUUUGGAUGGUGUGGUGGAAAGUUUUUCGGUGUGGGAUGAGCUCGCGGCCUAUCAGCUUGUUGGUGGGGUAAUGGCCUACCAAGGCGUCGACGGGUAGCCGGCCUGAGAGGGUGUACGGCCACAUUGGGACUGAGAUACGGCCCAGACUCCUACGGGAGGCAGCAGUGGGGAAUAUUGCACAAUGGGCGCAAGCCUGAUGCAGCGACGCCGCGUGGGGGAGGACGCCCUUCGGGUUGUAAACUCCUUUCGCUAGGGACGAAGCGUUAUGUGACGGUACCUGGAGAAGAAGCACCGGCUAACUACGUG